UACGUAGGGGGCAAGCGUUGUCCGGAAUCAUUGGGCGUAAAGCGCGUGUAGGCGGUUCGGUAAGUCCGCUGUGAAAGUCCAGGGCUCAACCCUGGGAUGCCGGUGGAUACUGUCGGGCUAGAGUACGGAAGAGGCGAGUGGAAUUCCGAGUGUAGAGGUGAAAUUCGUAGAUAUUCGGAGGAACACCAGUGGCGAAGGCGACUCGCUGGACUGAUACUGACGCUGAGGUGCGAAAGCGUGGGGAGCAAACAGG
rnacentral:rRNA from 1 species